AAUAAAUAUAUUAAUUUUGAUAGAAUUUGUAAAUAAAUUUUGAUAUUAAAAUGCCAAAAAUUUCAUCGGACAAACGUACCCUCGGAUUUCCUUCUGCAUCCGGUUCCUCGUCUCCUUGUCCUUCGUUUCCUUGUUCGAUUUCUCCCCUCUAAUCUUCUCCCUUUCGCCGACGACACCACCAGCUCCUUCAUCUCAUCAAGGUUUUAUACCGUCCGCCUCUCUUCGAUCCUGCUCCUGUGCUCCUCUAGAAUGGAUUGGCAAGGGCAGAAGCUAGCUGAGCAACUGAUGCAGAUCAUGCUGCUAGUAUUUGCAGUGGUGGCCUUCACUGCUGGCUAUAUAUUAGGAUCAUUUCAAACUAUGAUCCAAAUUUAUGCUGGUGGAGUGGUUCUCACUACAUUGAUUACUGUUCCCAAUUGGCCUUGGUUUAAUCGCCAUCCUCUCCAAUGGUUGGAUCCUAGUGAAGCAGAGAAGCAUCCCAAGCCUCAGCUUCAGCCUGUGAAUUCGAAGAAGAAAUUGGCUAAAAAGUAGGUCUUUUUAUUUGAAAUUGUAGUAUUUGCUAGGGUCUUUUAGUUGCACAAUAGAAUGGAAUGUUAUGCUGUGAAUUGGAUAUUACAAUGAAGUUGUUUGCCAUAAAUUUUGA
rnacentral:misc_RNA from 1 species